rnacentral:rRNA from 1 species
AAACCAGCACCUCAAGUGGUCAGGAUGAUUAUUGGGCCUAAAGCAUCCGUAGCCUGCUUUGCCAGUUUUCGGUUAAAUCCAUACGCUUAACGUAUGGGCUGCCGGAAAUACUACAAAGCUAGGGAGUGGGAGAGGUAGACGGUACUCGGGAGGAAGUGGUAAAAUGCUUUGAUCUCUCGAUGACCGCCUGUGGCGAAGGCGGUCUACCAGAACACGUCCGACGGUGAGGGAUGAAAGCUGGGGGAGCAAACCGGAUUAGAAACCCCGGUAGUCC